GACGAACGCUGGCGGCGUGCUUAACACAUGCAAGUCGAACGGAAAGGCCCUGCUUUUGUGGGGUGCUCGAGUGGCGAACGGGUGAGUAACACGUGAGUAACCUGCCCUUGACUUUGGGAUAACUUCAGGAAACUGGGGCUAAUACCGGAUAGGAUCUCCUGCUGCAUGGUGGGGGUUGGAAAGUUUCGGCGGUUGGGGAUGGACUCGCGGCUUAUCCGCUUGUUGGUGGGGUAGUGGCUUACCAAGGCUUUGACGGGUAGCCGGCCUGAGAGGGUGACCGGCGACAGUGGGACUGAGAGACGGCCCAGACUCGUACGGGAGGCAGCAGGGGGGAAUAUUGCACAAUGGGCGGAAGCCUGAUGCAGAAACGCCGCGUGCGGGAUGACGGCCUUCGGGUUGUAAACCGCUUUCGACUGUGACGAAGAGUGAGUGACGGUAAUGGGUAAAGAAGCACCGGCUAACUACGUG
rnacentral:rRNA from 1 species